UUGGUUUCUUUCAUUAGGAAACCAAAUCGCGGAUUCAAGAUUAUUUUAGUGGGAUUCUCCUGGAUUUUAGGGGCAAAUAGCGACGAGGAAAUGACUUCAAGGAGCCUUCAAAAAGAGUUGGAUACACAUGACGUCCAAAAUAGCAGCGCCAGGGUUCAUUGGGGUACUUCUUGCGACAAGCUUCGGGAACAGCUCCAUUCCAAAGAGCCCAUCCUUGUUUUACAAUAUCUUUAGUCGCUAUAGCUCCGGCUACGUAGGGAUCUUGAUCUAGGAACCAACCAGAAUCACUUAUACCUCUUACUGUGACCUUUAGGCCUGGGAAGAGAGUGAGAAUCUUAAAUUAGAGGACUGCAAAAAGGGAUUAUCACAGAUGAUGGUACCUCUUUCCUGGACCAGGAAAUGGCGGACUUUGUCCAAAUUCAGCAUUACACCAACUCCUCCGGCUGACGAUCCUGCUAGGAGCAGUUCAGAUCCUUGAGUAUUGCCUAGACCUAGGGGAAUCAGGUCUGAAAUGACCUGCCUGACUAUCAGUGAUCCCAUAAAUCGCCAACCAUCCCGCGAGUCUGGGAUGGAUUUAGUCCCGCUCCAGGAAUCACUGCUGCAGUAGGGUACAAGAACAUGAUUGGCAUCAUGCCAAUAGGGGUUUUCUUCUGGAUAAUGAGACAAGAUGCCUCCAACUGAAAGAACAGAAUUGAAGAUUAGAUCUUUUAUCUAUAACACAUUUUACUGGGAAUUUAUCUCUAAUUUCGUACCGUCUUUUGUCUCUGGCCACUGAGCUGAUGUCAUGAAAUGACGAACAUUGAGCCAACGAUCCCGACAGGAUUUCUGAUCGUAGCAAUGCAUCCCACCCUCCAGGUAGACAAUCCAUCGCCGGGAAAAAGUUGAGGAGCGCCUGAGGUAAAAUCCGGCCUGGGAACCAUCGUUGCACGCCACUGUGCGGUUGGAUAAAUUGACUCUCUUCAGUCCCGACACUGCUCGACUACGUGCCUCGGUCACCCGACGUGUUUCACCUACCACCCGCUGUACCGAGUUGCUCUCGAUAAGAAUGGAAUUCUGACGAACAGCUGCGGCCUCAUUGGCGGGAAUGUGGACGAGUGUCAAUGUGAGAAGAAUCUGGAAGCAAAUUAAUGCAACAAUUUACUACAAAAUGCAACAUAAUUGGGGGAUUUUAACACACCACAGGCUUCCGCAAUUGGUUGCUGAAGGGAAACAGGGAUCAACGACAAAAUGAAGCGCAUAUUGAGGGAAAUUGGUAAGUAUGAUUACACUGAGAAAAAACAGGGGUGCGAUUAACUUUUUUCCUCGUAACUUUAACACUUUUUAGGUCUAAAAAUAUAUCUACAUUUUUUAAUGUUAAUUUUACACUCAAAUCAAAACCACACUUUGGAGCUUCCCAACGAGCUUCCGGAAGAUGUAUUUUUACAAAAUAAUUAACCCUCGAAAAUUUGCUGAACUGCUGUUACUGAAGAAAUGGCUCUAGGAAUCGCAGGAAUGAUAUCCUUCUCUAUUCAAUCAAUGCGUGGAUUAUUGUUCGAUUGUGGUGCUUUAUAGUUGUCAAGGAAGGGCAGAAGCUUCGAAGAAAACUAACGAAUCUGUGGUCAUGUCCAACAACUCAUGAAUUCCUGCUGCACAGAAUCAACUUAAUUACCAUACAUAAGAGAUUUCUCCUAUAACUUCCUGGACAGCAGUGCUUCAAACAUGAUACCGAGCAUGGUAAAUAUUUCCUCUGAUGAGCCUUUCCCGGUCGGUGCAAGGAUAAUUCUGUGAUUGAUUGAAUAUUAUCAACAUAAUAUAACUUUCCGCAUUUGAUUUGGCCUAGAAUAUUUCAAACAAUUCUAUAUUUUAUGGUGAGCCCAGAAUGAAUAAAAUUUCACAAGAACUAUUA